rnacentral:rRNA from 1 species
GAUGAACGCUGGCGGCGUGCCUAACACAUGCAAGUCGAGCGAACAGACGAUGAGCUCGCUCCCCUGCUGUUAGCGGCGGACGGGUGAGUAACACGUGGAUAACCUACCUCUAUGACUGGGAUAACUUCGUGAAACCGGAGCUAAUACCACCUAACAUGUCGAACCGCAGGAUGCAACAGUGAAACAGGGUCUUGCCGUCACUUAUAGAUGAAUCCGCGCCGGAUUGGCUACUUGGUAAGGUAACGGCUUACCAAGGCACCGGUGCGUAGCCGAGCUGAGAGGGAGAUCGGGCAAACUUGAACUGAAGCACGGUCCCGGAUCCUACGGGAGGCAAGAGGAGGGGAUCAUCCGCAAUGGGCGGAAAGCUUACGGAGGCACGCCGCGGUAGGUAAAGAAGUCUUCGGAGCGUAAAACUCUUUUAGUAGGGAAAAACAAGUGUGUGAUUAACUAUGCGCGUCUUGGCGGUAACUAAUCGGAUAACCACCGGUAACUUCGUG